rnacentral:lncRNA from 1 species
GAGAUAGUUGCUAUCCACCACUGCGCCACUCAAAUGUUUUUGACUAACUCCACACUCAUUUUCGUACAUUCAAACAAUUUUCACAACAAAGGAUUGAAAAGUUUAGUCCACCAUAUUCACUUUUGUGAAAACAUAACUUUCAUCUAGCUUCGCCAAGAAUCAUAACGAAUUCCUUUUGUAUGGAAGAUCAAUCCCCUGUUUUCCUGCUCUGUUGGCUCUCCCUCACCCUUUCUCUCUUCCUUGGUUCCCAUGUAGAUAUGGUUACUCGCACUUAAACUAAUUUUUGGUCUUCCCUCAUUUAUUUCUCAAGGGGUGCUUCUCCUAC